GCCCAGACCGUCAACUAAGGUCCCUAAAUCUACGCUAAGUGGGGAAGGAGGUGGAGUUUCUCAAACAGCGAGGAGGUUGGCUUAGAAGCAGCCAUCCUUUAAAGAGUGCGUAACAGCUCACUCGUCUAGAGAUUCUGCGCCCAAGAUACUCGGGGCUAAGCGUAGUACCGAAGUUACGGGUGCCGUGCUUCGCACGGAAAUCCUAAAUCAAAAAUUCUAAACUCUAAACAAAUACUAAUUCUCAAAAUCCAAAUUCAAAACGUUUUGAUUUUGGAGCAUUUGAAUUUUUAAUUUGUUUAGGAUUUAGAUAUUAGAAUUUAGAGUUUCCGCGCGGAGCGCGGUGCAGUAGCAGAGCAUUUUAUAUGCAGUGAAGGUCGACCCGUGAGGGCGAUUGGAGCGUAUGGAAGAGAGAAUGUUGGCACAAGUAACCACAAGUUCCGUGAAAUCCGGAACCGCCGAAAAUCCAAGGUUUCCUCAGCAAUGAUAAUCAACUGAGGGUUAGUCGGUCCUAAGGUGAUGGCGAAAGCCGAAGCUAAUGGACAGCAGGUUAAUAUUCCUGCACUAUGUUGCAAGCGCGAUGGCGUGACGAAGUCUAGUAUAUCAGGCGCAUUAUUGGAUUUGCGUUCGGGAUAUGAGGAUGGUCGGUAGGUAAAUCCGCCGGCGGGGGUAAUGCCCGCAUCCAAGUAUAGCGUAAAUUUCUUGCCGCAAGGCUUGAGAAAUCUGAUAAAGCAGGCUUCCCAGAAAACCGUCUAAGUUUAUUGCAGCGUAUCCGUACCGGAAACCGACACAGGUGGAUUGGUCGAGAAGACUAAGGCGAACGGGUGAUUCCUCGUUAAGGAACUCGGCAAAAAAGCGGCCGUAAGUUCGCGAGAAGGCCUGCCCAUCCGAUGCGCAGCAUCGGGAAACUCUAAAUCCGAAAUCCUAAAUUCUAAAUAAUGUCAAAACUUAAAUGACUAAAAUUCAAAAUAAGAUUUUCUUUGUUUGGAAUUUUGAGCAUUAAAAUUUUUGAAUUUGUUUAGGAUUUGGUGCUUAGGAUUUGGGAUUUCCGCUGCUGUGCAGCGGUAUGGGCCGCAGCGAAAGUACCCCUGGCGACUGUUUACCAAAAACACAGCUCCCUGCUAACUCGUAAGAGGAUGUAUAGGGGGUGACACUUGACCAAUGCGGGAAGGUUAAUCAUUCUUGUGCAAUGACGCGAUUACAUCAAAUUGUUGUGCUCUGGGUGCCAAGCCCCCGUCAAUGUCAGCAGUAACUAUAACUGUCAACUUAGGGCAGUUACAAAAUCUCACUAUUUGCUGGAAUAGCCGUUGUAUCUGGUGCUACCGAAUGCGGAAUGUGUAUCGCAAUCAUCUCUCUUUCCGUCAUCCCCGACUCGAUCGGGGAUCCAGAUUCUCUUUAAUUAUACAAGAGGGUCUGGAUUCCCGCAUACGCCGGGAAUGACAAAAAGAGGGGGGCAAUAUUGCGAUAUAGAUUCCGCAUUCGGUGAAAAUGCAUCCAGUGCGGCCAAUCAGCAGGGAAGAAUUAAAAGGAGGAAUGUAUGUAUCGAAUUAUUUAUGUCAAAGAUGUUGAGUUUGGCGCGUUAUCGCAUGAUUUUUUUGCAUCUGACGAUCAAGAUGCUCGAGAAAAAUCGAGAAUUGAGAUUACUAAACUUAAACAAAAAGAAGGAAAUGAUAUUUUGAUUCGACGAUUAGAAAAAGUGAAACGAAUGAGUCAUAUGACAGAGAGAACUAUAGAAAUUCCACUUUAAAAAUUCCCCUCAGAGACUACACGUGAGACGCAACGCGGAUGAGCAGGGCGUGUUUCUUGCUCAUCCCUAUUAUUCUGUUGCGAUGAUAUAGUCCGAUCUGCAUGGCGACAUGCAGAGCUGAUCAGAAAUGAAUCAGCCAUGUAUUUCUUUUGUCAUCCUGAACGGAGUGAAGGAUCUAGAUUCUUCAGUUACGCUUCAGAACGACGAAGAGAUAUAGAGUAACAAAAGAAAAAUAAUGUCUAAGGUAGCGCAAUUCCUUUUCGGGUAAGGAAACUUGCCCACUGAAAGAGUGAUCUUUCAGUAAACAACCAGCUUAUAACGGUGGACUCCAUAUGAUAUAGUAAAUAUAUGGACAAUACCGUGGGAAGUCGUCCCGAUACUAUCGGGAUUGACCCCGUAACGACUGAGGCGAAAGCCAAAAUAAGUUGCUUUUAGCAAUUUAUUAUACGCUGGUCUCUUGAUGAGAAUGAGAAGUUUUGAGGAUUAUAUUACCGGUUACGUUGAUGGAGAAGGUUGCUUCACGGUGACCUUUAAUAAACGUCCGGCGAUGAAUACGGGAUGGGAAUUACGGCCAAGUUUUUCUGUGAGUCAGAAUGAAGACAGACGCGAAGUUAUUGAUCUCAUCCAAACAUAUUUCGGAUGCGGUUAUAUUCGCAGAGAUUAUUCUGAUAAAACGGUAAAAUUUGAGAUUCGUGAUCACAAUGAAUUGAUUACGAAAGUAAUUCCUCAUUUUGAGAAGUAUCCUCUGAUUUCUCGUAAGCAAAAAGAUUUCGAGUUAUUUCGGGAGAUAAAUAUGAUGAUUGAACAUGAAGAGCAUUUGGCAACACAAGGAUUUGCAAAGAUCGUUGAGUUGGCAUAUCGGAUGAACGGAUCGGGAAAACGCAAGAGAACAAAAGAAGAAAUAAUUCGUAAUUUAAAAUCAGUUCGUCAAGAUGAAGAUAUAGUCUUAUCUUUAUCGCAAGAUAAAGUCAAAAAAUAUGAAGUUCCGAAGCGCACGAAAAGUGUAACGACUGGGGGACUGUCUCAACGAGGAGCCCGGUGAAAAUACAAUACCGGUGAAGAUGCCGGUUACCUGUAGUUAGACGAAAAGACCCCGGGAGCUUUACUGUAGCUUGAUAUUG
rnacentral:rRNA from 1 species